UACGUAGGAGGCGAGCGUUUGUCCGGAGUUACUGGGCGUAAAGGGUGCGCAGGCGGCGGUUCGCGUGGCGAGAUGAAAUCUCCUGGCUUACCUGGGAGGAUGGUCGCCAGACGGGAUCGCUUGAGGGUCGGAGAGGGGCGUGGAAUUCCGGGUGGAGCGGUGAAAUGCGCAGAUAUCAGGAAGAACACCCGUGGCUAAGGCGGCUCUCUAGUACGGUACUGAGCUGAGACGCGAAAGCGUGGGGAGCGAACAGG
rnacentral:rRNA from 1 species